rnacentral:lncRNA from 1 species
AAGAGGUAGAGAUAUUCUGGGUAAAAUGACAAGUAGAAAUCUUCCUUAAGGUGCUUCUGUCUCAGGAUAAACUGUGAGUACAGAAAGCAGUUCUUGAAUAGCUGUUUGAUAAAGCACAUUGCAGAUAUAAUACCAUCAAAGAAGCGCUCUCUCUCUCUCUCUCUCUCUCUCUCUCUCUCUCUCUCUCAUCACUGUUAACUAUACACCUGUUUAAACAAUAGCAGCGAUAUUGUGAGUAUCAUUUACAAGUGUGAAAGCAUGGCCGGUUGUAAGGUCUGACAAGGCCAGUGACAAUUAUAUUUUCCUUGCUGUUUAAUGUUGAUCAGUGCCACCAGAACAUAUUUGCUAUUUUACCUAAAAGCUUUUUAGGCCACAUUUCCAGAGAUUGCCCAUUUGUCAAGAACACAUGAAAACAUUAAAAAGUAACAGCCUUCAGUUUACUUGGAUAAUGAUACUAACAACAACAACAACAAAAUUAAAGCUCAACUAGCAAAAAUUGCCACAAAUUUUGUGCANCCUUGUGCCUAAUCAUCUAUCAUGUGGAAUAAAUAAGACAUGUCUGGAUGCAGCCUUAGUGUCAUCAAUGGCAGAAAGCCAGAGAGAAAGGAAAGGAAUGAAAAAAUAAAUCUGCCAAAGCGGAGAUAAUUAAUCAUGCAUGCUUCUCAGAUGUUUCUUUCUACUUCUAAAAUAGAUCAUGAUUUCUGUUUCAGCAAUUGCUGUAUUUCUCUCUGUGAAAGAAACUACAGUAAAUUAUUUGUCAAGACUAUUCAGAAAAUUACUUACAUUGUUUUCAUUUAUUUUUGAGCCCUUCAUUCAGUCACCAGUAUUACAGAUGAAAGAUUUAAGGCAUGGCCUGAAGAUACACAAGUCUUUCAUGUUCCUGAAGAAAAGUAAGACUAAUGCGGUCAAGGUUGCUGGCCAGUGGUUUGCUGAAGAAGUGUUUGGAUUGAAAACACUCACAGGGAAAUAUGACUGCUUAGGAUGGUUCCAUCUUUCUGCAGUAGAGCAGUACGAAAAGGAAACACAGUCAAUAAUUUUUGUUGAAAGUCCCUCACAAUACCGCCUACUAACCGUAAAUGGAGGACUGGUUCUUCAAGUUUUCCUCGACUCCACCUUCCACAUUUCUUGAUGCUGAUGGCAGUCUGGAAUCUACCAACCUCAGGAAAAUCACAUUCCUCAACUAUGAGUUACAGACGGUAGCCAAGUAAACAAUACAGUUGUACCUUGAUUUAUGUGGGGGUUCUUGUCUGGGAAAAUGGUAUGUAAAUGAAAAAUGGGUAUAUUGAUAAACUGGGGAUUAGGGGAACUUACUGAGCUGGGGAAGGGGUGCAGCUGCAGCUAGAAUGGCCUUUUGCUAAGCCUGUUUCUUCAUUUGGAUGUUUAGGNGAGGGGAGGGCCAGGAAAGGGCAGUCUGCAUGUGGAUGCCAUGGUGAUGAUCAGAUACUUAAAAGAAGUGCUUCUUGGCCUUUUGGCUCAGACUGAGUAUGUAUGUGAAGAAGGAUGUGCAUAGAAGAAGUGUGAGAAUCUUGUAAAUUGUUGUGCUAGCUGUUGCUGCCAAAGCUGGGUGAUGAAGUCUCAGAAAUCAGAGGCAAAGUGAAGAAAGGAUCACUGGUUUGAGUGAGGACCCAAGAGAAGGUGGCUGCAACCCUUCUUCAGUCCAACUGCUGGGGACAAUUUGGAUCCGAACUCUGUACUACUGAAUCAACAGAGGCAUUUAAAUUGAGGUGGAUCAUGGGUCCUCUAACACAAAAUUGUGGAAAUACGCUGUUGGAGACCACUUAAAUUGAGGUAUAACUAUAGCUAGUGGUUUAACCUCAAUGCUAACACACAGAGGAACUAAUGAUAUCAGGAAUAAUAUGAGGGCUGAGUCAGGAUUCAGGAUUUGUUUUAUCAAACAAAGUACAUCCCCUAGUUUAGAUUUAACACUAAGAGUGUGUGUGUGCGUGUGUCUGUGUGUGUGUUUCUCACUGGGUCUACACUAUAAGAGUGGAAAUAAGCAGAUCAGAUAUUAUGGUCAUGAUGGCUAACCGUAACAUGCGAAGGAGCCAGUAUACUUGGAGUAAAUCAGUAACUUAUAGAAUGUGCUUCCUGUGGGUUUACAAAGUACUUGAUAAUUACUAUCACUUGGUGGUUUCUCCAAAGUGAAAGACAAAAGCCUGUAGUUAAUUUGCAAGUGAAUAUUUAGCAAAAGAUGCCUACAUCAGAUUUCCAGAGGCCACAAAACUAGUGGCUGAGCCGCUAGAGAGCAGUUGUGAUAAUGUGACAGGUUACUCUAAAGCACUGUACAUGAAUUAUAUCAGAAAGCAGCUCCAUAUGUAGUAAUCCUUUCUGAUAGUCAGUGCCAUUUGCUCCACAGGUGUUGUUCAAAUUUGACAAAAUUAUCUAUUGCUGUGUAGACUACAGUAGCCUAAAUAUAGUAGCCAGCCGGUGAAUACUUCAUGCCAGGCCAAGUCAGAGAGGGGAAAUACUGAAUCACUAGCACUAAUUGAAUAAAGG